AGGUCGCCGGUGCCCUACCGUGAGAGCCCGAUGGCGUAUGAGCCGGAGAAGCUCUGCUGGUGCAGGCCGCGUAGGAAGGCGCCGAGAUGGAUCUCAUGGAACCGCCAGAACCCAGGCAGGCGGUACUACGCCUGCGUGGAUGCCAUGGUAAGUUUCAUUUUAGUUAUACUUUUCUGUUCAUUAGAUCUUCUCCCCUCUCAAACCCUGAUUUCUGUUGGUACAGCAUGGUGGUUGUGGCUUCCUUGA
rnacentral:rRNA from 1 species